AUGGCCCACAUAUCAGAUAUUAAACUGAUAAGAACAGAUACUACACUUGAUCUUAGCCAAAAGGCCGAGAAAGGUAUGAGUUGCAACGCUGAGGCAGGUCUCGUUUUGUAG
rnacentral:rRNA from 1 species